rnacentral:miRNA from 1 species
GGAAUGGAAUGGAAUGGAGUGGAGUGGAGUGGAGUGGAAUGGAAUGGAGUGGAAUGGAAUGGAGUGGAGUGGAAUGGAAUGGAGUGGAAUGGAGUGGAAUAGAAAACACCUCCACCCCACCCCAGCCCC